rnacentral:lncRNA from 1 species
CGACGGCGGCGCGUGCGGCGUCUCUGGUCGGAAUUGGAGGUCGAGGUUUUGGGGAUUUGACAGGUAGUGAGGUGCUAGUUCCUCUCAUGGUGGUAAUUUCUCUCAAUUACGGCCCGAGAUUAAAGGACGAAGAACCCAGACUUGUUGGCUCCGGCAAUGACGCGUGCUUCGGUUUUUCCGGCGUCGGCUCGUGAUCAAACUUCUGGGUUUUGUUCUCCGUUGCUUGUUGAGUGCAACGGUGAUGGCGGUGUGGUGAGGAGAUGACGGAAAACCGGUGAAGGUCGUGGAACAGUGGCGUCGCGGUUUUGGAGGUCAUGUGCGGCGACCGGAGCCUUAAUCGGCGAUGCGGUGGCUGGGAUUUGGUCGGGUUUCUGUUGUGGUUCAAUUGGUGGUGACGGUGACGAGAGAUGGUGGCCGGAAUUGAUGUUUUCCGGUGAUUGCAGAGGGAAGAGAGGAAGGAGAGAGGUCGGGGAAAAAGAGGUAGUGUGGCGCGCCCG